AUUGAACGCUGGCGGCAGGCCUAACACAUGCAAGUCGAACGAGUGGCGGACGGGUGAGUAAUGUCUGGGAAACUGCCCGAUGGAGGGGGAUAACUACUGGAAACGGUAGCUAAUACCGCAUACCAUCGGAUGUGCCCAGAUGGGAUUAGCUAGUAGGUGGGGUAAAGGCUCACCUAGGCGACGAUCCCUAGCUGGUCUGAGUGGAUGACAACACGCAAGGGAACUGAGACACGGUCCAGACGCCUACGGGAGGCAGCGUGUGGGAAUAUUGCACAAUGGGCGCAAGCCUGAUGCAGCCAUGGCGCGUGUAUGAAGAAGGCCUUCGGGUUGUAAAUUACUGUCAGCGGGGAGGCGUUACCCGCAGAAGAAGCACCGGCUAACUCCGUGCCAGCAGCCGCGGUAAUAC
rnacentral:rRNA from 1 species